UGUAGCGGUGAAAUGCGUAGAGAUCUGGAGGAAUACCGGUGGCGAAGGCGGCCCCCUGGACGAAGACUGACGCUCAGGUGCGAAAGCGUGGGGAGCAAACAGGAUUAGAUACCCUGGUAGUCCACGCUGUAAACGAUGUCGACUUGGAGGUUGUGCCCUUGAGGUGUGGCUUCCGGAGCUAACGCGUUAAGUCGACCGCCUGGGGAGUACGGCCGCAAGGUUAAAACUCAAAUGAAUUGACGGGGGCCCGCACAAGCGGUGGAGCAUGUGGUUUAAUUCGAUGCAACGCGAAGAACCUUACCUGGUCUUGACAUCCACGGAAGUUUUCAGAGAUGAGAA
rnacentral:rRNA from 1 species